rnacentral:rRNA from 1 species
GAUGAACGCUGGCGGCGUGCCUAAUACAUGCAAGUCGAGCGAACAGACGAGGAGCUUGCUCCUCUGACGUUAGCGGCGGACGGGUGAGUAACACGUGUAUAACCUACCUAUAAUACUGGUAUAACUUCGGGAAACCGGAGCUAAUACCGGAUAAUAUAUUGAACCGCAGGGUGCAAUAGUGAAAGACGGUUUUGCUGUCACGUAUAGAUGGAUCCGCGCCGCAUUAGCUAGUUGGUAAGGUAACGGCUUACCAAGGCAACGAGGCGUAGCCGACCUGAGAGGGUGAUCGGCCACACUGGAACUGAGCCACGGACAAGAGUACUAAGGGAGGCAGCAGUAGGGAACCUUACGCAACAGGCGAAAGCAUGACGCAGCAAGGCCGAGUGAGUGACGAAGGUCUUCGGAUCGUAAAACUCUGUUAUUAGGGAAGAACAACUGUGUAAGUAAAUAUGCACGUAUUGACGGUAACUAAUAAGAAAGCAACGGCUAACUACGUG